rnacentral:rRNA from 1 species
AUUGAACGCUGGCGGCAUGCCUUACACAUGCAAGUCGAACGGUAACAGGUCUUCGGAUGCUGACGAGUGGCGAACGGGUGAGUAAUACAUCGGAACGUGCCCGAGAGUGGGGGAUAACGAGGCGAAAGCUUUGCUAAUACCGCAUACGAUCUCAGGAUGAAAGCAGGGGACCGCAAGGCCUUGCGCUCACGGAGCGGCCGAUGGCAGAUUAGGUAGUUGGUGGGAUAAAAGCUUACCAAGCCGACGAUCUGUAGCUGGUCUGAGAGGACGACCAGCCACACUGGGACUGAGACACGGCCCAGACUCCUACGGGAGGCAGCAGUGGGGAAUUUUGGACAAUGGGCGCAAGCCUGAUCCAGCCAUGCCGCGUGCAGGAUGAAGGCCUUCGGGUUGUAAACUGCUUUUGUACGGAACGAAAAGACUCCUUCUAAUAAAGGGGGUCCAUGACGGUACCGUAAGAAUAGGCACCGGCUAACUACGUGCCAGCCGCCGCAGUAAAAC